UACGGAGGUGGCAAGCGUUGUUCGGAAUUACUGGGCGUAAAGGGCGCGUCGGCGGCCAUCUAAGUCAGACGUGAAAUCCCCCGGCUUAACCUGGGAACUGCGUCUGAUACUGGACGGCUUGAGUAUGGGAGAGGGAUGUAGAAUUCCAGGUGUAGCGGUGAAAUGCGUAGAUAUCUGGAGGAACACCGGUGGCGAAGGCGGCAUCCUGGACCGGUAUUGACGCUGAGGCGCGAAAGCCAGGGGAGCAAACGGG
rnacentral:rRNA from 1 species